rnacentral:misc_RNA from 1 species
GAAAAAGGCAGAAUGACCAACAUUUUCACCAACCUAUGUCCUGCCUUCCAACUUUAAAUAAAAAUAGAUCCAUCAAUGAAAUAAGGGCGUUCAAAAUUGAGAAGUUGGUCAACCCAAAAGUAACUGAGGCAAGCCGUUGGACAGUAACAACAAGAUCUUGAAAGAAAAGAUUCCAAAUCUAGUGUCUGAAAUUACCUCAACAGACAACUAUGAAGAGGAUUUCCUACUCGUUAGCUACAAUGUUUGAAGUUAUCUAACUAGUCAACUAACAAUGGAGAGGAUUCCUUCCUAUUAUCCGUAUGUAAAGUUUUCUCAACUAAAUUACCCAUGCCAAAACAACUUUUCAAAACUAGAAAAACCUUCAAUAGGUGAUAAAAGAAUUAAGAAAAAGGGGGGCUAACCACAAUUGACUGCUAACUGUAUCACAAUCAAAUGAAUUCAUUGUUUGCUUUUAUUCAGGAAAGAAAAAGGAUGAGGAGGUCAAAGAGCUAUAUCAGAGAGUUCUGGAAUACUGCAUGUAGGAGCUUAUAUUUAAUGGCUAUCAUAUUUAUGCAUUUGACAUGUGAACCAAACACUACUAAGAUAAGCUAGACUUGUUAAAUAUUAAUAGCAAUAUUCCAAAACUUUUAAAAGAACCACUAGUUAUCCAAAUAAGUAAACAACCAAAACAACCCAGCCAGCAGUAAAACAGUCUAAAGAUGGUGAAUGCAGCUGUAGACUCAGUUUAUGCAUGAUAUCUGUUUUUAUAUAAAUUUCAAAGCAUUCCAUAGAAAGGAAACAAAUGAAUGAAUUGAUG